rnacentral:rRNA from 1 species
ACGAAAGUCUGACCGAGCAACGCCGCGUGAGUGAAGAAGGUUUUCGGAUCGUAAAGCUCUGUUGUAAGUCAAGAACGUGUGUGAGAGUGGAAAGUUCACACAGUGACGGUAGCUUACCAGAAAGGGACGGCUAACUACGUGCCAGCAGCCGCGGUAAUACGUAGGUCCCGAGCGUUGUCCGGAUUUAUUGGGCGUAAAGGGAGCGCAGGCGGUCAGGAAAGUCUGGAGUAAAAGGCUAUGGCUCAACCAUAGUGUGCUCUGGAAACUGUCUGACUUGAGUGCAGAAGGGGAGAGUGGAAUUCCAUGUGUAGCGGUGAAAUGCGUAGAUAUAUGGAGGAACACCAGUGGCGAAAGCGGCUCUCUGGUCUGUCACUGACGCUGAGGCUCGAAAGCGUGGGUAGCGAACAGGAUUAGAUACCCUGGCAGUCCACGCCGUAAACGAUGAGUGCUAGGUGUUAGGCCCUUUCCGGGGCUUAGUGCCGGAGCUAACGCAAUAAGCACUCCGCCUGGGGAGUACGACCGCAAGGUUGAAACUCAAAGGAAUUGACGGGGGCCCGCACAAGCGGUGGAGCAUGUGGUUUAAUUCGAAGC